rnacentral:rRNA from 1 species
UUAAUAUUCCAAAAAAACUAAUUUAGCCAAUAUUUGAUCCUUUCGUACUAAAAUAUUUUAAACAAACGAAGAUAGAAUCCAACCUGGCUCUCGCCGGAC